GAUUAAAUGGCUGAAGUUUAGGCGAUAAAUUGUAAAUUUAUUUAUGAGAUAUAAUCUCUUUAAUCA
rnacentral:tRNA from 1 species